rnacentral:rRNA from 1 species
AUUGAACGCUGGCGGCAGGCCUAACACAUGCAAGUCGAACGAGUGGCGGACGGGUGAGUAAUGUCUGGGAAUCUGCCUGAGGGAGGGGGAUAACUACUGGAAACGGUAGCUAAUAACGUAUAACAUCGGAUGUGCCGAGAUGGGAUUAGCUAGUGGGGGGGGUAAAGGCUCACCUAGGCGACGAUCCAUAGCUGGUCUGAGAGGAUGACCAGCCACACUGGACCUAAGACACGGUCCAGGCGCCUACGGGAGGCAGCAGUGGGGAAUAUUGCACAAUGGGCGCAAGCCUGAUGCAGCCAUGCCGCGUGUAUUAAGAAGGCCUUCGGGUUGUAAAGUACUUUCAGCGGGGAGGCGUUACCCGCAGAAGAAGCACCGGCUAACUCCGUGCCAGCAGCCGCGGUAAUAC